rnacentral:rRNA from 1 species
GACGAACGCUGGCGGCGUGCUUAACACAUGCAAGUCGAGCGGUAAGGCCCUUUCGGGGGUACACGAGCGGCGAACGGGUGAGUAACACGUGGGUGACCUGCCUUUAGCUCUGGGAUAAGCCUGGGAAACCGGGUCUAAUACCGGAUAUGACUCCGCGGCGCAUGUUGUGGGGUGGAAAGCCUUGUGCGGCUGGACAUGGGCCCGCGGCCUAUCAGCUUGUUGGUGGGGUGAUGGCCUACCAAGGCGACGACGGGUAGCCGGCCUGAGAGGGCGACCGGCCACACUGGGACUGAGACACGGCCCAGACUCCUACGGGAGGCAGCAGUGGGGAAUCUUGCGCAAUGGGCGAAAGCCUGACGCAGCGACGCCGCGUGAGGGAUGACGGCC